AUAUUAUAUGAUAGGGGUUAAUGUGUUAAUAAUAACCUAAAUUAGACCUUGAAUCUACACCCCCUAACCUUCUAAAUCAUCAACCCAUAACCCAUAACCCUUCUAAAGACACAAUGUGAUUUAUUCCCAUUGCUCUACAUGUCAAAGUGAAUAAAGUCAACCAAGCAUGGGUAAACGACGGGAGUAACUAUGAAUCUCUUAAGGUAUCCAAAUGCAUUGUCAUCUAAUUAGUGAUGUGCAUGAAUGGAUCAUUAACGUGAUUCCCCAUUGUCCCUAACUACUAUAUUCUAGAGAAACCACAUCCAAGGGAAUGAACUCGAUAGAAUUAGUGGGGAAAGAAGACCAUGUUGAGCUUGACUCUAGUCCUAAUCCAUUCAUAGU
rnacentral:ncRNA from 1 species